CAGUUGAUUUCAAGCUCAGAACCAAACAAGCUAUCCCAAAGCCAUAUACUGGGUUAAAGAAAAGAAGAGUUGUAAAAUCCCAUCAGGGCCCAGCUCAAAAGGGAAUCAGCAUCCACCAACUAAACCUUAAAGAAAUGAAAAUCUUCGUUCAACAUCAUCAGCAUUCAGUGGUAUCAAUAAAUGUUUCUUUCAUGUCAUAAGAGAUCAAUGGAUUCGUGUAUUCUACUCUUAGAGCACCCACAUCCAUGCCACCCAAAUGGGUGGUAUAAAUGGGACCCACAUAAUAUAUUACAUUACUUUA